GAGGGUGAACUGAAGCCUCUGAUGGACUCACAUCACGCAACACCGUGUGUUUGCUCAUAUUUGAGGACAAAGACAGCUUCUGUAGAUUUCCUUCUCAUGCACAGCUCAGUUAUUGGGUCACAGUGGGACAGCAGUGAUGGAUUUCUCUGUCAGUGAAUGGACUGUCCGCUGGAGGCUUUGCUGCUGGUUUUAGGACCGUCUAUGGAGUUAUGCACUCUUCUGACAAGUGAUGAUAAUCGAUUAUUGAUGACUAUUAUCUUUCCAUAGUAACAAUGACGCGGCGAGUCGCGGCCAUUUGAUGGACUUCCACAUGCGGGGUAAAUGAAAAACUUGUUAUUACUCUACUAAAGUCGUUGAAAAAAAAACAGAUUGGUUGAAGUCAGUAAAGUUUUCGUGAAUGAGAUGCUUCGGUACCUGUGAUGGUCUCGUUCAGGGUCCUUCGCUUCACUUCAGUGCUGAAUGAGGAGUGAAGGAUGCUGGACUCGCUCAGAUUUCACCCGUGGCCUUUCAUCUUCGCUCACUGUUUGCUCUCGUCGUGUCUUCUCUUCUCUCAGGCGGAGCUCCAGUCGUUUUGCUCACAGCAUGACAUUAACAGAGGAGGUGAAGGUCGCCAGCUGUUGUGCCACCGUCGGCCGUACCCGCCUCUGCCUCCUCCUCCACCCCCUCCUCCUCCACCGCCCGCACUGCUCUCUAUGGCUCCUGAGGCUUCUGCUCCUCUGCUGGGCUCCUGGUGGAUGGAGAUCAUCGUGGUCGGGACGACAGGAAGUGCUUUGGCUGUCUUCCUUUUGCUAACUGUCAUUAUCUUCUACAAGGCCAUAAAGAGGAAACCACUGAAGAACGAGAAGAAUGGUACAGGUUGUGGAGAAGAUGCCACGAGCUCUUUCAAAAAGACCAAUAAUGCUGCGGUGUAACUUUCACAACAGUGUGUGAAAGCCAAAGGAAAUAUUUCCAGCCAAUGUCGAUGAGGUCAGAAUGAUGCAAACUGAUCCAGAGCCCCUCCAGAUGCAAUCUGAAGUUGAAGGGGCUGCAGAUCGAGCUGCUGCUGUGAUGUGUUGCUUUCUCAGAGACUGAAAUCAAUGACAUUUGCAUGCUAGUUACUGACAAAUGUCUGAAUUGAUUUCUUAUAUUAAUUCACUUUAUGUUAACAUGUUUGUUUUAAAGACUUAUUUGACACAAUGUUUUAUGCAACUUGGUCUGGAAACCCACAUCAUUGAAUGAGGGGAGUGUAAUGUUGAUGCAUGAUGACAUGACAGAGGUCAGCUGUGUUCACCGUUCACCGCCCUUCAGCUCCUGAUGCUUUGAGAUUUCCAGUCUGUUAUCAACCUCAAGGGUAGAACACUAAAUGCACGACUAAUAUACCAUGUAAAUUAUAGUAAUUGAAGGCACAAUGGACAUUUGAACAGAUCGAAAGCACUUGGCUGUGCUUUGAUUACAUGUUAAUUUCCAUCUGUAAAGCAGCAGCCGUGUUUCUCCAGUGUUCUGAGUUCAUGAAUGAUGCACUUAUAAGGGUGGGAGGAGUCAAUAUGACCCAUGAAGGUCAUAAUUAAGAUAAUUAGUGAUGUUGUUGACCUUGCUGAUGUACUCUGUGCCAGACAGUGUGACUUGUAUACAUUAGAGCAGAGGAUUUGGAUUUGUUGUUCUUGUGUCUGUGCAACUGCCCUUCUCAAAAAAGUGCCCUAAAAAAUUCAAGAAUAUAUUCCCAGCAGGCAGGCAAAAUGUAUUAUAUGUAUAAAAUGGUAUAUAAAUGAUGCAUGAAUGUAAAUACUGAGAAAAAAAAAAACUGCCUUCAUGACUGUUAUUCACUUAUAUAGAGCACUUGCAUAUGUUUUUACAUAGUAGAAAAUAUAAUUUUGUGUCAUCUGUGAAAGGCUUGGUUGGUUAAAGGAAAUUAAAGAAGUUACAAUAUUGAACACCAUAUCCAACAAUUUUCUAAAAUCGACUAGUUGGUGGGAAGCCUAAAUGACUAGGAAGGCUUGUAUACAUAGAGGUUAGGGUCUCAAUUUUCACAAGAUACUGAGUUGUGGCACAAUUGACUCUUCGCAAAGACCCGCCCCCCUUAGUUACUGUUGCUUUAUCCGACAAGCCAUGGCGCUGUCACACCACACAUAGUGAAAAAUACAUUGUGGAGCAAAGAGGACACUGACAACACAUCGACAGACAAGACAGAGCAGAUUACUUAUGAUAUUAAACAAAGUCCCAGCUUUCAAAUUGUGUAAUUUUUUAAAGAAAUUAAAGAGCCAUAAAACGGCUUUUAUUGUUCUAAUGUGUUGUGACGGAUCGCUGUAGCGCCUCAGCUCAAGCGGUUCGUGAACUGAUCAUCUCUUCCUACUAGUUAAUUUAUAGCAUCAAAUAAACAUGAAUGAACAUCAGAAGGAAUGUUGUUUCAAACGCGGAAAGACGUCAGUACACACCAUUUUUCAAGUUCAAGUCCACCAACGUUAAUCUUCUAACUCCUGACUGCUUUGUCGGACAAAAUGGCGGAUUCGGCGUUAUGAUUGGUUAGAUCGCUUGUCAAUCAAACCCCCGGCGAAGGGUCAAUUAUGACCAUCAUGUUCUUUCAAAGUAAUACAGUGUAAUUUAGUAAUUUUAAGGUCAAUCCAGUCACAAUGAUGUAUAGGCCUAUAGUAACCAGACAUCUGGCAUUGUCCCGUCAGUUCAAAUAUAAAUAUGUCCAGGUUUCAGCUGUUUUUCUUCAAUGUGUUUCUAGCUCAUAUCUCGUGCUGCUCAUCUUCUGACGUGACGCUGUCAUUUCAUUUGUCGAAACUUCCAUUCUAGAAUGUCUAUCAGCUAAUCAGCUUGUUGCCAUGACAGUAUCCAUAACACAUGCUUGCUGCUGCUUCCUGUCGACCUCUCAGUUGACCUUCAGAAGCACAAGAGCCUCUGACAUUGUUACAUAAUUAGGUUCCAGUAUUGGGAAUAUUUUGUUUAAAAAUGAUUUGAUGGCAUAUGCAAUUAAACCUUUAACUGUGAAUUCACUUUCAAAUAUACAAAUAUACAGAAACUUUUUUGUUUUAAUUCAAUGCUUAUUUAAUUUUGGGUAUUUGCAUUUGAUUUUUUUUAAAUUUGUGAAACUGAAAAAGGAGAGAGGUGUCCGUUAGUGAUGCACGGAUCACAGUUAUAUCCACAGACGCUGCGUAUAUAACCAAUCAGUGCUGUGUAUGUGAUGUGUUUCAGCUGUGAAGCGCUGUAUGUAAAUGACAAUAAACUAAUACAUUAGCCUA